UGGUAAAAAGAGGAAUUAAACCCCUAUAAGUGGGGCUACGGCCCACCACCUUAACAUUCGGCCAUUUUACC
rnacentral:tRNA from 1 species